rfam:Cricetulus griseus cell line CHO-K1, whole genome shotgun sequence.
UAUUUGGGGCUUCCCUGACAUUAUCUGCUCUGUGGUAGGUAUUUAGCUGUGGGUCUAUUUCAGUCUGUUGAUAUUAGGCACUUUUAGACUCUAAGAAACUAACCCUGCAGCUCACAUCAG